rnacentral:rRNA from 6 species
UGGUGACUAUAGCAAGGAGGUCACACCUGUUCCCAUGCCGAACACAGAAGUUAAGCUCCUUAGCGUCGAUGGUAGUC